rfam:Blastocystis hominis, Singapore isolate B (sub-type 7) whole genome shotgun sequence assembly, scaffold_17
GCCUCAAUAGCUCAGUCGGUAGAGCACUCGCUUAGUAAGCGAAAGGUCAGGAGUUCGAUCCUCCUUUGAGGCU